CAGUAGCCGCGGGAAAACGGAGGGGGCUAGCGUUGUUCGGAAUUACUGGGCGUAAAGCGCACGUAGGCGGCUUUGCAAGUUAGGGGUGAAAGCCCGGGGCUCAACCCCGGAAUAGCCUUUAAGACUGCAUCGCUUGAACGUCGGAGAGGUGAGUGGAAUUCCGAGUGUAGAGGUGAAAUUCGUAGAUAUUCGGAAGAACACCAGUGGCGAAGGCGGCUCACUGGACGACUGUUGACGCUGAGGUGCGAAAGCGUGGGGAGCAAACAGGAUUAGAGACCCCGGUAGUCCCUGUCUCUUAUAC
rnacentral:rRNA from 1 species